rnacentral:rRNA from 1 species
AACGAACGCUGGCGGCAGGCCUAACACAUGCAAGUCGAGCGCCCUUUCGGGGGAGCGGCGGACGGGUGAGUAACGCGUGGAAAUAUGCCCUUCUCUACGGAAUAGCCUCGGGAAACUGAGAGUAAUACCGUAUACGCCCUGUGGGGGAAAGAUUUAUCGGGGAAGGAUUAGCCCGCGUUGGAUUAGGUAGUUGGUGGGGUAAUGGCCUACCAAGCCGACGAUCCAUAGCUGGUUUGAGAGGAUGAUCAGCCACACUGGGACUGAGACACGGCCCAGACUCCUACGGGAGGCAGCAGUGGGGAAUCUUAGACAAUGGGGGCAACCCUGAUCGAGCCAUGCCGCGUGAGUGAUGAAGGCCUUAGGGUUGUAAAGCUCUUUCAGCUGGGAAGAUAAUGACGGUACCAGCAGAAGAAGCCCCGGCUAACUCCGUG